rnacentral:rRNA from 1 species
UCCAGACUCCUACGGGAGGCAGCAGUGAGGAAUAUUGGUCAAUGGACGAGAGUCUGAACCAGCCAAGUAGCGUGAAGGAUGACUGCCCUAUGGGUUGUAAACUUCUUUUAUAAAGGAAUAAAACGAGGCACGUGUGCCUUUUUGCAUGUACUUUAUGAAUAAGGAUCGGCUAACUACGUGCCAGCAGCCGCGGUAAUACGUAGGGGGCAAGCGUUAUCCGGAUUUACUGGGUGUAAAGGGAGCGUAGGCGGUUUAGCAAGUCAGAAGUGAAAGCCCGGGGCUCAACUCCGGGACUGCUUUUGAAACUGUUGAACUAGAUUGCAGGAGAGGUAAGUGGAAUUCCUAGUGUAGCGGUGAAAUGCGUAGAUAUUAGGAGGAGCACCAGUGGCGAAGGCGGCUUACUGGACUGUAAAUGACGCUGAGGCUCGAAAGCGUGGGGAGCAAACAGGAUUAGAUACCCUGGUAGA